rnacentral:rRNA from 1 species
AGUGAACGCUGGCGGUAGGCCUAACACAUGCAAGUCGAACGGCAGCACAGUAAGAGCUUGCUCUUACGGGUGGCGAGUGGCGGACGGGUGAGGCAUACAUCGGAAUCUACUUUUUCGUGGGGGAUAACGUAGGGAAACUUACGCUAAUACCUCAUACGACCUACGGGUGAAAGCAGGGGAUCUUCGGACCUUGCGCGAUUGAAUGAGCCGAUGUCGGAUUAGUUAGUUGGCGGGGUAAAGGCCCACCAAGGCGACGAUCGGUAGCUGGUCUGAGUGGAUGAUCAGCCACACUGGAACUGAGACACGGUCCAGACUCCUACGGGAGGCAGCAGUGGGGAAUAUUGGACAAGGGGCGCAAGCCUGAUCCAGCCAUACCGCGUGGGUGAAGAAGGCCUUCGGGUUGUAAAGCCCUUUUGUUGGGAAAGAAAAGCAGCAGGUUAAUACCCCGCUGUUCUGACGGUACCCAAAGAAUAAGCACCGGCUAACUUCGUG